rnacentral:rRNA from 1 species
AACUUAGAGUUUGAUCCUAGCUCAGGGUGAACGCUGGCUGUGUGGAUUAGUCAUGCAAGUCGAAUGGGUUUAGACCCAUGGCAGACGAGGCAGUAACAUGUAGGUACGUACCCUUAAGUCGGGCAUAAUCCAUCGAAAGGUGGGAUAAUUCCCGAUAGUCUCUACGGAGUAAAGAUUUAUCGCUUAAGGAACGGCCUGCAACUUAUCAGCUAGUUGGUACGGUAACGGCGUACCAAGGCUACGACGAGUAGGAGAGGUGAGAGCCUGACCUCCGCCGAUGGAACUGCGACACGGUCCAUACCCCUACGGGGGGCUGCAGACGAGAAUCUUCCGCAAUGCACGAAAGUGUGACGGAGCGACACAGCGUGGUGGAUGAAGACCGUAAGGUCGUAAACACCUUUUAUGAAGGAAGAAGUAUAUUGACAUUACUUCAUGAAUAAGGGGCUCCCAACUCUGUGCCAGCAGGAGCGGUAAUACAGAGGCCCCGAGCGUUACCCGGAAUUAUUGGGCGUAAAGGAUGUGUAGGCGGUUAUAUUAGUCAGAUGUUAAAUCUCUGGGCUCAACCCGGAACGCGCAUUUGAAACGGUAUAACUAGAGGAAAUGAGAGGUGUGUGGAACUCAGGGUGUAGGGGUGAAAUCCGUUGAUAUCCUGGGGAACACCAAAAGCGAAGGCAACACACUGGCAUUUUCCUGACGCUGAGACAUGAAAGCGUAGGUAGCGAAUGGGAUUAGAUACCCCAGUAGUCUACGCCCUAAACGUUGCCCGCUGGCUUUUUCGAGUAUCGACCCUCGAAGAGGCGAAGCUAACGCGUUAAGCGGGCCGCCUGGGUAGUACGGUCGCAAGACUAAAACUCAAAGGAAUAGACGGGGGCUCGUACAAGCAGUGGAUCAUGAGGCUUAAUUCGUCGAUAAACGAAAAACCUUACCAAGGUUAGAAAUCUAGCUGCAUUCCCGGAGAAACCUGGGAAGCCUUAGAGGGUGCUAGACAGGUGAUGCAUGGCCGUCGUCAGUUCGUGGCUUGAGCUGUUCCCUUAAGUGGGGUAACGAACGCAACCCACGUUGUCUGUUUUAUAUGUCAGGCGAGACUGCCCCCUCACGGGGGAGGAAGGUGUGGAUGACGCCAGGUCAGCAUGUCCCUAGAUACCUUGGGCUGCACUCGUGAUACAAUGGGUGGUUACAAAAUGGCGCAAUACUGUAAAGUGGAGCAAAUCACUAAAACCAUCCUUAGUUCGGAUUGAGGGCUGCAACUCGCCCUCAUGAAGUUGGAAUUGCUAGUAAUCGUGAAUCAGCACGUCACGGUGAAUACGUUCUCGAGCCUUGUACUCACCGCCCGUCAACUCAGGGGAGUCGGGGAUACCCGAAGCGGC